GACGAACGCUGGCGGCGUGCUUAACACAUGCAAGUCGGGCGGACGGACGCGGAGUUUGUUGCUCUCUCGAUUGGCGAGCGCGUGAGUAACACAUGUGGAACAUCCCCUUAACUUUGUGGUAUCUUCUCGGAACUCGGGCGCUUACCCCGUAUAAUAUCCUGCUCCACGGUGUGGGAUGGAAAGUUACGGCGUUUCUGUCUGUACUCGAGGGAUAUCGGCUGCAUUAGCUAGUUGGUAGGGUCACGGCCUAUCAAGGCAACGAUGCAUGGCCGACCGGAGAGGGUGAUCGGCCACACUGGAACUGAGACACGGUCCAGACUCCUACGGGAGGCAGCAGUAGGGAAUCUUCCGCAAUGGUCGAAAGCCUGACGGAGCAACGCCGCGUGAGUGAUGAAGGUCUUCGGAUCGUAAAACUCUGUUAUUAGGGAAGAACAUAUGUGUAAGUAACUGUGCACAUCUUGACGGUACCUAAUCAGAAAGCAACGGCUAACUACGUG
rnacentral:rRNA from 1 species